UAGUAUAGUUUAACAAAAACAUUAGGCUGUGGCCCUAAAAAUAGAAGCUCGCCUCUUC
rnacentral:tRNA from 1 species